GAUGAACGCUGGCGGCGUGCUUAACACAUGCAAGUCGAACGGAAAGGCCCAAGCUUGCUUGGGUACUCGAGUGGCGAACGGGUGAGUAACACGUGGGUGAUCUGCCCUGCACUUCGGGAUAAGCCUGGGAAACUGGGUCUAAUACUGGAUAGGACCACUUCUUGGAUGGUGUGGUGGAAAGUUUUUUCGGUGUGGGAUGAGCUCGCGGCCUAUCAGCUUGUUGGUGGGGUAAUGGCCUACCAAGGCGUCGACGGGUAGCCGGCCUGAGAGGGUGUACGGCCACAUUGGGACUGAGAGACGGCGCAGACUCCUACGGGGGGCAGAAGUGGGGAAUAUUGCACAAUGGGCGCAAGCCUGAUGCAGCGACGCCGCGUGGGGGAUGACGGCGUUCGGGUUGUAAACUCCUUUCGCUAGGGACGAAGCGUUUUUGUGACGGUACCUGGAGAAGAAGCACCGGCUAACUACGUG
rnacentral:rRNA from 1 species